CUUGGUCAUUUAGAGGAAGUAAAAGUCGUAACAAGGUCUCCGUAGGUGGACCUGCGGAGGGAUCAUUACAAGUGACCCCGGUCUAACCACCGGGAUGUUCAUAACCCUUUGUUGUCCGACUCUGUUGCCUCCGGGGCGACCCUGCCUUCGGGCGGGGGCUCCGGGUGGACACUUCAAACUCUUGCGUAACUUUGCAGUCUGAGUAAACUUAAUUAAUAAAUUAAAACUUUUAACAACGGAUCUCUUGGUUCUGGCAUCGAUGAAGAACGCAGCGAAAUGCGAUAAGUAAUGUGAAUUGCAGAAUUCAGUGAAUCAUCGAAUCUUUGAACGCACAUUGCGCCCCCUGGUAUUCCGGGGGGCAUGCCUGUUCGAGCGUCAUUUCACCACUCAAGCCUCGCUUGGUAUUGGGCAACGCGGUCCGCCGCGUGCCUCAAAUCGACCGGCUGGGUCUUCUGUCCCCUAAGCGUUGUGGAAACUAUUCGCUAAAGGGUGUUCGGGAGGCUACGCCGUAAAACAACCCCAUUUCUAAGGUUGACCUCGGAUCAGGUAGGGAUACCCGCUGAACUUAAGCAUAUCAAUAAGCGGAGGA
rnacentral:rRNA from 1 species